GCGUAAGCGUGCGUAGGCGGCUUUUUAAGUCGGAUGUGAAAUCCCUGAGCUUAACUUAGGAAUUGCAUUCGAUACUGGAAAGCUAGAGUAUGGGAGAGGAUGGUAGAAUUCCAGGUGUAGCGGUGAAAUGCGUAGAGAUCUGGAGGAAUACCGAUGGCGAAGGCAGCCAUCUGGCCUAAUACUGACGCUGAGGUACGAAAGCAUGGGGAGCAAACAGGAUUAGAUACCCUGGUAGUCCAUGCCGUAAACGAUGUCUACUAGCCGUUGGGGCCUUUGAGGCUUUAGUGGCGCAGCUAACGCGAUAAGUAGACCGCCUGGGGAGUACGGUCGCAAGACUAAAACUCAAAUGAAUUGACGGGGGCCCGCACAAGCGGUGGAGCAUGUGGUUUAAUUCGAUGCAACGCGAAGAACCUUACCUGGCCUUGACAUACUAAGAACUUUCCAGAGAUGGAUUGGUGCCUUCGGGAACUUAGAUACAGGUGCUGCAUGGCUGUCGUCAGCUCGUGUCGUGAGAUGUUGGGUUAAGUCUCGCAACGAGCGCAACCCUUUUCCUUAUUUGCCAGCGGGUUAUGCCGGGAACUUUAAAGAUACUGCCAGUGACAAACUGGAAGAAGGCGGGGACGACGUCAAGUCAUCAUGCCCCUUACGGCCAGGGCUACACACGUGCUACAAU
rnacentral:rRNA from 1 species